UGGCUGCUUGCUCCUCACUCCCUUUUGUUGCAAAUAAACUUUGUGGCUGAGGAAAGGGGGUGGGGGCGGGGCCUCGCGCCCAAAAGAGGGGGUGGGCUCCCGGCGCACGCAAGGCUGGGAAUCCGGAGUUGGGGUGGGGGAGGGAAUCGGGGAGGAGCCAAAGGAGAAACAAGAUUGCUUGAAUACUGGCAGACAGAAUCGGCCCUCCAGAUAAGCCCCUCGGGAGCUCAGCGGGCUGAACUGUCCCCCGACCCACGCACUCGGUCCGACACAACGCACACUCUGGAUGUGGUCAGCUCCGCGGGAGUCCAAUCAGGGCAGCGCACUCACUGAUUUCGGGCGGAGACACCUCCUGCCCAAGGGACCCGAACAUGGCAACUUCGGACCCACUAACUCGUACACACCACGGAUACUCAGAUUUCCUCCCCCUGUUUCCCUUCAAGACAAAAGGCUUCUAAGCAUUUAGGGAUUUGGGACUCAUAUCUUUGAAGCAGUGACGGGAGACGGGACCUUGGCUUCAACUACUAUUCCUGUGAUUACUCCUCUGCCAUUCUCCACUCUCCAACGCCUUUUUUUUUUUAAUGAAGAAACAAGUCAUUUAUCCUGUGAAAGUUCUCAAAUUCUGAAUCUGGCUAAUUGUAUCCCUAUGUUGUCAUUUAACAUAGUCCUUUAUACCCUGUAUUUCCUGAAAACUGAUAGUUAAAUCAAUUUGAUUAGAUUCAGGUUCAAUUUUCUGGAAAGAA